AAAUGUAUCUACGCUGAGCGUAUGGAUGGAUGACGCAUCUGCAUCGGUAUAAAAUGGAAAGGACAGACCACAUCAACCUUUAGAUAAGGCCUGCAGUUGUGAGACAAUUUUGCCACAGCAUAAGGCAAAUGAAGAACUUCAGAGGACUGAGGCACUAGAUUCAGCUACCCAGGGUGCAGCACAGGAAGGAUUCUUUGCAGAAACUACAGAAGCUGGUGGUAGAGCUCAAAUAAAUCAGCUUGGAGGCUGCUGUUCUGGAUGCUUUCCUGAAGGAAAGACCAAUUUCAAUGGUCUACUGACAUUUGAAUUUAUACUAUUUUGAAUGCAAAAUAGAUACUAAAUUCAAGAUUCUGGAAAA